AUUGAACGCUGGCGGCAGGCCUAACACAUGCAAGUCGAGCGGAGCGGCGGACGGGUGAGUAAUGCCUGGGAAUCUGCCUGGUAGUGGGGGAUAACGUCCGGAAACGGGCGCUAAUACCGCAUACUCUAAGAUGAGCCUAGGUCGGAUUAGCUAGUGGGGGGGGUAAAGGCCUACCAGGGCGACGAUCCGUAACUGGUCUGAGAGGAUGAUCAGUCACACUGGAACUGAGACACGGUCCGGACUCCUACGGGAGUAAGCGUGGGGGAAUAUUGGACAAUGGGCGAAAGCCUGAUCCAGCCAUGCCGCGUGUGUGAGGAAGGUCUUCGGAUUGUAAAGCACUUUAAGUUGGGAGGCGUUACCAACAGAAUAAGCACCGGCUAACUUCGUGCCAGCCGCCGCGGUAAUAC
rnacentral:rRNA from 1 species